rnacentral:rRNA from 1 species
AUUGAACGCUGGCGGCAGGCCUAACACAUGCAAGUCGAGCGGGGUUUUCGGACCUAGCGGCGGACGGGUGAGUAAUGCGUAGGAAGCUACCCGAUAGAGGGGGAUACCAGUUGGAAACGACUGUUAAUGCCGCAUAAUGUCUACGGACCAAAGUGUGGGACCUUCGGGCCACAUGCUAUCGGAUGCGCCUACGUGGGAUUAGCUAGUUGGUGGGGUAAUGGCUCACCAAGGCGACGAUCCCUAGCUGGUUUGAGAGGAUGAUCAGCCACACUGGAACUGAGACACGGUCCAGACUCCUACGGGAGGCAGCAGUGGGGAAUAUUGGACAAUGGGCGGCAAGCCUGAUCCAGCCAUGCCGCGUGUGUGAAGAAGGCCUCGGUG